UACAGAGGGUGCAAGCGUUGUUCGGAAUUAUUGGGCGUAAAGGGUGCGUAGGCGGGCAGGUGAGUCAGUGGUGAAAUCUUUGGGCUUAACCCGAAAACUGCCAUUGAUACUAUCUGUCUUGAAUAUUGUGGAGGUUUGCGGAAUAUGUCAUGUAGCGGUGAAAUGCUUAGAUAUGACAUAGAACACCUAUUGCGAAGGCAGCAAACUACGCAUAUAUUGACGCUGAGGCACGAAAGCGUGGGGAUCAAACAGG
rnacentral:rRNA from 1 species